AACAUGCAAGUCGAACGGUAGAGCAGCAAUGCUUGAGAGUGGCGAACGGGUGAGUAAUAUAUCGGAACGUGCCCAGUCGUGGGGGAUAACGUAAAGAAAUUUACGCUAAUACCGCAUACGAUCUAAGGAUGAAAGCGGGGGACUCGCAAGAGCCUCGCGCGAUUGGAGCGGCUGAUAUCAAAUUAGGUUGUUGGUGAGGUAAAAGCUCACCAAGCCGACGAUCUGUAGCUGGUUUGAGAGAACGACCAGCCACACUGGGACUGAGACACGGCCCAAACUCCUACGGGAGGCAGCAGUGGGGAAUUUUGGACAAUGGGCGAAAGCCUGAUCCAGCAAUGCCGCGUGUGGGAAGAAGGCCUUCGGGUUGUAAACCACUUUUGUACGGAACGAAACGGUCUGCCCUAAUACGGUGGGCUAAUGACGGUACCGUAAAAAUAAGCACCGGCUAACUACGUGCCAGCAGCCGCGGUAAUACGUAGGGUGCGAGCGUUAAUCGGAAUUACUGGGCGUAAAGCGUGCGCAGGCGGUUAUAUAAGACAGUUGUGAAAUCCCCGGGCUCAACCUGGGAAUUGCAUCUGUGACUGUAUAGCUAGAGUACGGUAGAGGGGGAUGGAAUUCCGCGUGUAGCAGUGAAAUGCGUAGAUAUGCGGAGGAACACCG
rnacentral:rRNA from 1 species